rnacentral:rRNA from 1 species
GACGAACGCUGGCGGCGUGCCUAACACAUGCAAGUGGAGCGACGAACCGGGCUUCGGCCCGGGGCAAAGCCGCGAACGGGUGAGUAACACGUGGGUAACCUGCCCUGAUGAUUGGGACAACCCGAGGAAACUCGGGCUAAUACCAAAUGUGCCCUCCUGCUAUAAGGCAGAUGGGGAAAGGAAGCUUCGGCCUCCGCAUCGGGAUGGGCCCGCGGCCCAUUAGCUUGUUGGUGAGGUAAUGGCUCACCAAGGCAACGAUGGGUAGCUGGUCUGAGAGGACGAUCAGCCACACUGGGACUGAGACACGGCCCAGACUCCUACGGGAGGCAGCAGUGGGGAAUCUUGCGCAAUGCGCGAAAGCGUGACGCAGCAACGCCGCGUGGGGGAAGAAGGCCUUCGGGUUGUAAACCCCUUUCAGUUGGGACGAAGCUUCGUCGGUGAAUAGCCGACCGGAGUGACGGUACCUUCAGAAGAAGCCCCGGCUAACUACGUGCCAGCAGCCGCCGUAAAAC